GAGACGCCUUCUCAUCUUGUUUUAUUUUUGCUGGACUUCCUUUGUUUCCCUGUUUGCCUGGUUUGGCUUUACUCUUUUCCAGGGCUUCCUCCCCUCCCCCGGCGCUGAGGCUGAGUGAGACCACACACCUGCUCCACAUCUCCAAUCAAGGCACCUUAAGAAGCCUGCAGCCCUCAGUCUCAGCGCCUGAGUAUUGUCUACCUUUCCUAGCGGUAAAGACGCGUCUCCUGGCCAACCUCGUUGUAUGAGUAUCAGUAACUUUGCUCCUUGUGAUUCUUCUCAUGUUCAAUAACUCCUGUCUCCUCUGGUUUUUCCUGCAGUGUCUCCAGCCCACACGACAGCCAGCCAACCAGCCUACCGGACAUCCUCUGUUUGCAUCUACUACCUUUUGUUUGGACAUUAAAAUUCAUUUUAAGUUGAUCUCAGUCUCCGUGUCUGUUUCUGGGUCCUCACAACUAACCAGCCACACUACAGAAUACUCAGGCCAGGAAAAUGGACCCAGCAGACCCAGACAGAGACCAGCAAGCCAUCCAAAAAGCUCGGACUUCGCCUCGGUCAACAUGAGGACAUGCUCCAGGGCCUCAACCAAGCCUUUCAGGGCCUCACCGUUCAAAUAGCGCAACUGGCGGAUCAACUCCUCUCCCGCCUAUCCCCGCAGCAAUCUGGGUCUCCCCCCUCUGUGAGUACGGCCUCCUCUUCACCCUCUCCUGUCCUCAAAGAGCCCUAUGUCCCUCCUCCUGAGCCGUAUGCUGGGGAGAUUGGGGGCUGCAGAGGUUUCCUGCUCCGCUGCGCCUUAGUAUUUGACCAACAGCCCAUUAGUUACCCCUCAGAUCGGUCUAAAAUAGCUUACACAAUAAAUCUGUUGAGAGGUAGAGCCGCUAAGUGGGCUACGGCCGUCUGGGAUAGGGAAUCACCUAUGUUCUCCUCUUACGCCCUAUUCUCAGAGGAGCUCCGUAAAAUAUUUGAUUUUCCUGUUGAGGGCCCCGAGUGUACCAAACGGUUGUUUUCCCUCACCCAGAGCUCUCGGUCAGUGGCGGAGUACUCCAUUGAGUUCCGUACAGUGGCGGCCGAGAGUGGGUGGGGGGAACUCGAGUUGAAAGGGAUAUUCACUCGGGGCCUCUCUGAACAAUUGAAAGAUGAGCUAGCGGCUCGAGAUGAGCCCUCCUCCCUUGAGGAGCUAAUAGCGCUAGCUAUCAGAAUAGAUAAUCGCCUCAGGGAGAGACGGAGGGUGAAGAAAAGUCAUUCCCCGGUACCUAGUAUAGACUCCCCUUCCUCUGUUGCGGUCAGCGGGUCUCCUCUGCAGCCCUCAGUCUUCCCAGAUCCGGCGCCCUCUGCCGAGGAACCCAUGCAGAUCGGCUGCACCAAACUACACCCAGAUGAAUGGAGACGGAGGAUAGAGCUAAAGCUCUGUGUUUAUUGUGGCCAGGCCGGUCACUUUUUGGCCAACUGCCCGAAUAAGUCAAACGGCCAGGCAUCAGUGACAGUUGGCACCCUGAAGAGCCACACCUCCUCUGUUCCCAGCUCUCCCAGACGUAUCGCUGUUCCUGCCUGUCUCCUGUGGGGGAAGGGCUCCACGUCGCUCCAAACCCUAAUUGACUCCGGGGCGGACGAUAACUUCAUUCACACCGGACUGGCAGCGUGACUUCAGCUCCCCCUGGAGGAACUCCCGGUCCCCCGUAAGGUCACCGCUCUCGAUGGCAGAGUGAUAGCCUCUAUCACCCACUGCACUGCUCCUCUCACCCUCAUCCUCUCCGGUAACCAUCGGGAGGGCAUCCGGCUGUUCCUGCUUCCCUCUCCUCACUCUCCCCUGGUGCUGGGAGUCCCGUGGCUGAAGAUCCACAAUCCCCAGAUCAACUGGUCCACAGCGCCAAUCUCCGCCUCGAGCCCUCAUUGCCACUCUCACUGCCUUCGCUCGCCCCCUGUGCUCAGACACCCGGAUCCUUCUCUCCAGUUCAUGGUGGAGGUCGACGCCUCGGACUCCGGAGUGGGGGCCGUCCUCUCACAGAGGGAUACCGAGACCCAGAAGCUCCAUCCUUGCGCCUACUUCUUCCGGAGAUUCUCACCCACCGAACAAAAGUACAACGUGGGAAACCGUGAGUUGCUGGCUGUUGUGUGGACACUCCAAAGAUGGAGACACUGGCUGGAAGGAGCGCAACACCCAUUCCUCAUCUGGACUAACCACAGAAACCUUCAUCACCUCCUUUCUUCUCGACGCCUCAACUCCAGGCAAGCCCGCUGGUCCCUCUUCCUCCGCAGAUUCACCUUCACCAUCUCCUGUCGUCCCGGCUCCCGCAACCUCAAACCAGACGCCCUCUCUCGGAUCCACUCCUCUGAUACCCCGGACCCUAGUGAACCAGACACCAUCCUCCCUGCCUCCUGUGUCGUCGGCUCCACCUCUUGGGAGAUCGACACCAUCGGGGACCAGGCCCUCCGGAAUCACCCAGACCUGGGAACUGGCCCGCCAGACAGAACAUUCGUCCCUGGGGUUGCAUGUUCCCAGGUCCUACAGUGGGGGCACUCCUCCAACAAACCUAUUACGUCGUGCACCCUGAGCCCUCCUUCCGUCGCCCCCCCCCCCCCCCCGGUUGAUUGACGACCUCCCUGCCCUCACUGUACGGAAGAUCCUGGACGUGCGGCCUCGGGGGCGAGGCGUCCAAUGUCUCGUGGACUGGGAGGGGUACGGUCCAGAGGAGCGUUCCUGGAUCUCCCGCUCCCUCAUCCUGGACCACCAACUCCUUGAGGACUUCUACGUCGCUCACCCCAACAAGCCCGGCAGAACGCCAAGAGGCGUUCGUUAAGGGGGGGGGGGUACUGUGGUGAGACGCCUUCUCAUCUUGUUUUAUUUUUGCUGGACUUCCUUUGUUUCCCUGUUUGCCUGGUUUGGCUUUACUCUUUUCCAGGGGGCGCUGAGGCUGAGUGAGACCACACACCUGCUCCACAUCUCCAAUCAAGGCACCUUAAGAAGCCUGCAGCCCUCAGUCUCAGCGCCUGAGUAUUGUCUACCUUUCCUAGCGGUAAAGACGCGUCUCCUGGCCAACCUCGUUGUAUGAGUAUCAGUAACUUUGCUCCUUGUGAUUCUUCUCAUGUUCAAUAACUCCUGUCUCCUCUGGUUUUUCCUGCAGUGUCUCCAGCCCACACGACAGCCAGCCAACCAGCCUACCGGACAUCCUCUGUUUGCAUCUACUACCUUUUGUUUGGACAUUAAAAUUCAUUUUAAGUUGAUCUCAGUCUCUGUGUCUGCUUCUGGGUCCUCACAACUAACCAGCCACACUACAAUGUUCACUUAAAAAAUCUGGUUCCUUUGAAUGAAUUAUUCACGAAAGACACAACACUAAUUUUAAGUACAAUACACUAUAUGUCAGGCUAAUUUACAUAAAUAUUUUAAGUAAUAUCAAUUGCUGUGCCCAAUUGAUUGUACUCAGCAUUUUUAGUUUAAAGUGGUUACAUUUCACAUUUAUAUUUUUAAUGAUGUCAGUUACAAAACUUUCCUUUUAUUGACACUAAAUGCAAGUCAGUGUCAACUUUAUAUAAAACAGAGGCUAAAAAUUUGCCACAAAUUUUCCAGAGAAACUUUUAGCUUCAAACAUAAAAGUUGAGUAGAACAGAACAAAUGUUGUUUAAUAAGUGCACUCACACUGAAGAAUAUAAACAGUCAAGAUCUCACAAUCAAAAAAACAUAGUUCAACAAGGAUGAACUCAAGUUUGCUUAAGAAAACAAGAUUAAAUGUUUGAUCAUAAAAUUAAGAUUUUUUUCCUCAACAAUUAAUGACUGUAAACUCAGGAUAAUUACAUUUUUUUUCUUGUAAAUAAAAUUAUCUCUUAAAUAUUAUUUUUUUCCCUUAAAGAUCUAUGUUUUUGUCCUUUUGUAAAUAUAUCUCAAGUAUCUUGUCUUUCCUGUUUUCUUUUUUAAUUUUCUAUUUUUAAUAUAUUUAUUUUAUUUAUUUAUUUUUUGGUAUUCCAUGUGGUCAUAAAUUUAUGCUCUUCAUCAUGACAGACUCAGUUUCUUGCACAAUCACUUCUAAAUCCUGAUUUACAUUACGGUGUGGCACUGAUGUACAAAGAAAUUUGGUAUUCAGUUAAAUAUUAAAUCCAAAUCUUACAUGCUGUUGGGCUGCCCUUGAUCUCUUACAUCAAAACAACCGGAAGGCUACCUAUAGACCCAAAGUAUGACUUUUUUACAAAAUUCACUUAAAGGUGGGGUAGGCAGGAAUCUAUUAAAGAAGCAUCUUUUUUUGUGGUGUAUAUACGAAAAAGCUUUUAAUA